rnacentral:rRNA from 1 species
CCCUUUUAGAUGGGGACAACAUCGCGAAAGCGGUGCUAAUACCGAAUGUUGAUAAUGAAAUGCAUGUUUCGUUAUUUAAGGAUGGCCUCUAUAUAUAAGCUAUCGCUAAAAGAUGGGUCUGCGUCUGAUUAGCUAGUUGGUGAGAUAACAGCCCACCAAGGCAACGAUCAGUAGCCGGUCUGAGAGGAUGAACGGCCACAUUGGGACUGAGACACGGCCCAA